UUAGGAAACCAAAAGAAUAAUACGUUAAAGUUUCAAUUCAAAAAAUUGGUUACUGUACAAGCCACCCUUUGUCAAGAUUACAUGGCGGAAACGAAAAUGCACUUGGGCGGAGGCAGUACAGAAAAGUUGUUCACCGUUGAGGCCAUUUACAGUGCCCAAAAUCACCGUGUUAUCGGCAAGACUAUUGAUAAUAACCCGUUGAUUCACAUCAUCAUCACCAGGUGCCAGAAGCCUCCCAGUGUCGUGGUUUGUGCCGGUAUUAUGUCAGACGGGAAAAAGAUGCUCCUAGUUUUAAUUAAGAAGGAUGUGAAGAUCAAUCAACCAGUCUACAAUGUCAUUUUGGUUGACAAGAUCCUUCCCUAGCAUUAAAAGACGUAUGGUGAUAUACUUUAAAUAUUCAGCCCGUACUGGAAACUUUCCCACACUACAAAUAGUGUACAUGACUGCUGAAAAGAAAAUUUCAUGGGCUUUUGGGAAAGUAAUAUUUGAUCUCCUAGUAGCCCUUACCUGAAUCGGAUCAAUUUUUUAUUUGAUCCAUCCUUGAAAGCAGGCCUUUACCAAACACCACCUCACCAAAUACACUCUGAAGCUUGCCCUCAUCCCAAAAAUAAUGGGAAACCUCUAUGUAUGUAAUAAAUUUGCUGAAGUUAAAAUAAAGUAACAAAUUUAAUUUGUAUUUAUGAAUUAAA
rnacentral:lncRNA from 1 species